CUUAAACCCAGGAGGCGGAGGUUGCAGUGAGACGAGAUUGCGCCAUUGCACUCCAGCCUGGGUGGCAGAGUGAGACUCCACCUCAAAAAAAAGAAAAAAGGAAAACCAAGCAAAAGUCACUGUCAGGGGACCUCCCACCCACCAUACAGGGGAACACUCGGCAGAGCCAGAGGCCUGGGCCCAAGUCCUGCCACCAGCUGGCUGUGAAACUGUGGUACAGCACCUUGUGUCCUGCCACCAGCCGGCUGUGAAACUGGUACAGCACCUUGUCCUCAGGUCCUUGGUUUCCUCACUUGUAAAUUCAUGGUUCUCCAUGGCAUCUCUGGUCUUCAACAUUAUUUUGCAUAGAGUCUCAGAAGCUUUAGUGUGAGCGGAUGAUAUGGGCACGAAGCAAGGCACCCAGAAGUGGGGGCAACUACUCUGCUUUCUAAAAUGCAAGGGAACCGGAAAAUCCAGGAGCCGUGCCAAAUGAGAAGAGGAACAAAUGGAGGAACAUCCCAGUCAAGUGACAUUCCUAGUGACAUUCACCAGAACAGAGUCAAGCUUUGGAUCCCAUGUUCUGUGACUUCCUCUUCACCACGCUUCCUCCACACACGUAGCAGCUCAAGGGUUUCUGAUGAGUGGGGUCUAUGUUCCCUUUAUGAGCUGUAACGCACACCAUGAAGGUCUGCGGCUUGGCUAUUGAGUCAGUGAGAGCGUGAACCUACUAUUAGAAGAAAAACUCUGAAUACGUCUGAACGUCAGAAAGAACGAAGUUUGGACACAUUGUCUUUAAGAACUGUAACACUCACCCCAAGGGUUUAUGGAUUCAUUCUUGAAAUCAGUGAAACCAAAAGCUUUCCAAAGUUUAACACACAGGGAAAUGACUUACUGCAAAGAACCACUCUUCCCCACGAGACUUCGAGAAGACCCGCUGUCACGGACUGAGUUGUGUCCUCUUAAAAUUCAGAUGUUGGAGUCCAAACCCCCAGUAACUCAGAGUGUGAACGUAUUUGAAGAGGUCUUUAAAGAGGUGAUGAAGGUCUUUGUCUCUGACAAUUUGCCUCUGUGACGUGGAUGGGACUGGAAGUCCAUUUGGAGCCCUGUCUUCUCCACCUAGGGAGAGAGACCCCAUGAGCUCGUCAAGCUCCUUCUGUGACUGAUCAGAGAUCCCACCGUGAGUCCAGCUCCUGGUCCCAUGCUCUGGAUAUAUCGGUCCCUGGCAGCGUGCAGUCUUCUUUCCACCAAUGACCCCUCGCGCUGCUUCCAGAAGCCAAGAAAGUGGGCUUUGUCCUUGGGGAUUUAGGAGGCGGAGCGGCGCCCCCUUGAGGCCACAUGGUGGAGGCAGCGAUGAGACCUGGAGUCUAAAAUUCAGACUGAAUCACAGGAAGAAGCUAUUUACACAAGUCAAACAUGGUCCAAUCUUGGCAAUUUCAUAAGGUUCCAAUCCUUAAGGGAUCAAAACCUGGCCAACUGCUUCCACCGAGAGGUGUGCCUUUCAAUGCCAGGCUUGGAGUGUCCCUCUUUAUUUAAAAAGGAGAGGAUUCCACAGCAGAGCUUCUCAAACUCUUCCACCCAAAUCCCCUCACCACAGAGGGACAGGAGUCCUGGGCAUGUAGCCUAAAGCAGCCAGGAGAAAAAAACCUUGACCUUAAUUUUUUUAAUGAUUUCACAUGAAUCAGUGGAAUGUGUUUAUGAUAAAAUCAUCUCCUCCUGAAAUACAUGUGUAAAACUGCUGCCCCAGUUAAACGCACUUAGUCUAACCAAGCCCUAGGAUUGGCCUCUCCAGCAUGAGAAGCAUUUCCAGCACUCCAGCUCCCCAGCUCCCACUCUGGGAUCCCACCUCAGACCCUCCCACUUCCUUGCACUCUGGCCUCUCGCUCUUGACCCUGCUCCCGCCACGCUCUUUCCUCAGAGUCCAUCAGUCCUGUCUUGUCUUCACCUUGGUCUCUGCCAAGUGUGGGUCCAAGUCAUAUAUUUGGGCUGUGAUCACAGGAACCCCAAGCCCCAGACCUCCCAAAGCACCCUAUGGAGAGACCUUACCCUCCUGGACAGACCCUCUCCCCCCAGCUAGACCUCAUCCUCUGGGUAGACCCAUCUCCCCAACCAGAACUCACCCUCCUGAGUAAACCCCAUCCCCCUAGCUAGACUUCAUCCUCCUGGACAGAUCCCAUCCCCCCAGCUAGACCUCACCCUCUUGGGUAGAUGCAUCUCCCCAACCAGAACUCUCCUGGGUAGACCCCUUCUACCCAGCUAGACCUGAUCCUCUGGACAGACCCCAUCAUCCCAGCUAGACUUCUCCCUCCUGGACUGUCCCCAUCCCCCCUCCAGCCAGACCUCACCCCUCUGGGUAGACCCCAUCCCCCCAACUAGACCUCACCCUCCUGGAUGGACUCUACCCUCCUGGAGAUACCUUCCCCUCCUGGGUACAUCCCACGUGGCUACACACUCCUUCCCCUGUCAGCUUUCUCCCCCAGGGUUCUGGGCAGCAGAGUCUGUGAUAAAGGAUACUAAGUGAUUCCCCAAUACUUCCCGUUUCCAGCCUCCAGUGGGCUCUCCCUGGGGCUAACGGUUCUUUUUGCUAUUUCUCCAGGCUUUGCCUGAUGACAAGUAUACUCUGAGAGUGUCCUAAUGAUACAGAUUUUGGACCCUAUCCCAGUUCUACUGAAUCCAAGUCUCUGGGGGAGGAGUUGGGGCUCUGCAUCUGGACACCUUCCUGCAGGGUCCCUCCUGGGAGGCAAGCCCGGGGAGCACCGCUGAGGCUCGCCUCAGUGCCCAUCCUAGACCUUCAGCAGCUAGCAGAGGAUGUCCCCACCAUCCCUCAGCCCACACUCCCACUGUCGCCCCAGCCAGGCUUGGCACUGCCUCCUUUCUCAGAAGAUUAAGACCAUCUGCUGUUUCCCAAGUUUCCCACCCUCCACCCUAAAAAUUUCUCCGUUUCCCAGUCUUUCCUCGUCUCUCAGAAAAUAAACAUCUUCCCAGGCUGCCUCCCCAGUGGGUCUGCACUCCUUGCUGUCUUCCCAGCACCUGCCCUUCCAGCCCGCCCUCUGUGUGUCCAGUGUUUCCCUCACCAAAGGACUCGCUUUGUUUUUCAAAUUGGAGGUUUUGUCUUCUCCCUAAAAACCAAAACAUCUCCCUGAGAAGUAACUCCCUCAAGCUACUGAUACGGAAGGGGGGCGGGGAAGUGCUGGGAAGGGAAGGGUGUGGUCCCUGGCUAGGGCUCCACCCCCGGGCCUGUGCCCACAGACCUAGGUGAGGACAGGCAUUUCUGUUUUCGUGCUUAAAUGUUGGAUUUCCCAAGACUACCCUGGCCUACCACACCCUCAUUCUGUGCCUGUAAAAAAACCUGAGAGCUUAGCAGGCACGCACACAAGCCUCUGGACGUCAAGAGGAACACACCGGUGUAAGAGCAGACUGAUAGUGGCCCACGGCAGGCUGGCAGGCCAUCGACAGGCAGAACCACUCAGUGCAGCUGGAGGACAGCCUGGCCACGGAGCGGUCCGACUUCAGAGGGGAAAACCACCUCCCCACUCCGUCUCCCUUCUGGCUCCCCCAUCUGAGAGCUACUUCCACUCAAUAAAACCUUGCACUCAUUCUCCAAGCCCAUGUGUGAUCUGAUUCUUUUGGUGCACGGAGGCAAGAAACCUCAGGAUACAGAAAGCCUCUGUCCUUGGAAUAAGGCAGGAGGUCUAACAGCUGACUAGGGAUGGCUCAACUGAAACAGCAUCCUGUAACACAGGCCCAUUGGGACCUCAGGAGCUGUAAACAUUCACCCUUAGACAUUGCUGUGGGGUUGGAGCCCCACCACCUGCCCAUCUGCAUGCUCCCCCUACAGGUUUGAGCAGCGGGGCACAGAAGAAGCCAGCCACACCUCCAUCGCAAGCCCUGCCACGGGGAUAAGGGAACUUUUCCCGUUUUGCCACCAGCUCAAGCCCCGCCUUCCUGUCACUCCACACUCUUCAUCUCUGUGUAUGGGUGUGGUCUUCCUCAGUUCCUUCUCUGGCCUCACACAGUGCCCUGAAUAAUGCUUUGCAAGGCCUUUGCCAGGAGCCUAGGUGAAAGGCAGAAGAGGUGCCCCUGCAGCAUCGCAAGGUAGAGAUCGUGGUUACAAGAUGGGGACUAGACUCCCAGUUUGCCCUUGGACUGGGCAGCCCCUUGGAUUUUGUUUUCCCUGACGUUGCUGUUCUGAUCCAAGGCCUUGUGGCCUCGCUACAGACACCCAAGGCCAGGCCUAUCUUUGCAUGAAUAACUAAAGAAAGCCUAGAGGAUGAGUAAAAUGACCACACUGUAUGGCUUUGGAGGACUGGAAGUUACUGAGGACUAUGAGUGGGUUUUUUGCAUAGACUGCAGUAAAGGUCCUCAGAAAAGACCCUCAAGAGCUAUGGGGGGGUCUGGUCAAAUGCCACUUCUAGACUGGACUCCAAAACUGGUGCUGAUUAUUUUCACUCCUACCCCACCCACCAGCCUGAUAGGCGAUUCCUGAAGUAGCAGUGGGGCGCUCAGUGGUGCUCACCAGGCCCAGAGCUCAGUCCUUCCCCCAUUCUGCCUGAUGGGGCUUGUGUAACCAAGGAUGACAGAUGGGACAAUCCCUGUUGGUAAAGACUGAGUUGAUUCUGACCAGGACCAGAGAUAAAACCCAGCACCUUUAUCUUUCCCCUUUGUACCUUCUUCAGAAAGACCUUCUUCUGCAGCAGUUCUGGAACUGUGAUCUGUGAGGUGUGGUUGCAAGAAUUCUUUAUUUUUUUAUUUUAUUUUUUUCAGACAAAGUCUCACUCUGUCGCCCAGGCUGGAGUGCAAUGGUGCGAUCUCGGCCCACUGCAACCUCCGCCUCCCAGGUUCAAAUGAUUCUCCUGCCUCAGCCUCCUGAGUAGCUGGGAUUACAAGCAUGUGCCUCCACGUCCAGCUAAUUUUUGUAUUUUUAGCAGAGACGGGGUUUCAUCAUGUUGGUCAGGCUAGUCUCAAACUCUUGACCUCAUGAUACACCUGCCUUGGCCUCCUGAAGUGCUGGGAUUACAGGCGUAAGCCACCACGCCUGGCCUGGCAAGAAUUCUUUUAUAAAGAAUUCUAGGUCUAUUAAACCCAGAUUCUUCAACUAGAACAGGCACACAGGAAAAAGGUUCACUAAAAACCCUGUUCUCUUGCCUCAUUUUGGUGAUUUCCAGCUAGGCUGUUGGGAUAGGCAUAUGUAAGUGUCACUUCCAUCUUUUCAUAGGUAUCUCACAGAAUCUCUGACCAAUGGAGAGCUAAUCAAAGACAAGUUUAAUAGGUGAAG
rnacentral:lncRNA from 1 species